ACCCAGGUUCAAUUCUCAGCUCUACCACCAACUUCCUGUGUGACCCUGGGCAAGAUAUUUGGUCUCUCUGUGCCUCAGUUUCCCAUCAGUAAAAUGAGGAUAAUAGCACUUACCUGUGUCACAGGGGUUUGGUGAGGAU
ensembl:snoRNA